GUAGGAUCCGAGCGUUGUCCGGAAUUACUGGGUGUAAAGGGCGUGUAGGUGGGUCUCUAAGUCGGUGGUGAAAUCUUGCAGCUUAACUGUAAAAUUGCCAUCGAUACUGGAGGUCUUGAGUACGGCAGAGGGAAAUGGAAUUCAUGGUGUAGCGGUGAAAUGUGUAGAUAUCAUGAAGAACACCGGUAGCGAAGGCGGUUUCCUGGUCCGUUACUGACACUGAGGCGCGAAAGCGUGGGGAGCAGACAGGAUUAGAUACCCUGGUAGUCCACGCCUUAAACGAUGAAUACUAGGUGCUGGGCCGUAAGGUUCAGUGCCAAAGCUAACGCAUUAAGUAUUCCACCUGGGGAGUACGAUCGACAAGGUUG
rnacentral:rRNA from 1 species